AUUUGAGAGCAGAAGAGUCAGGUUCUGGGACAGCUGGAGGCAGUGGUGGUGACUGGAAUAACUUUUCCAAAGGAAAGCUGUUUAGUGAACUGUCCUCUCCAGUAGAGAUGGCCAAUGGGCUUUGUAACAGUGCCAGACUGGCUUCCUAUUGCCCAGGAUUUUGCUCUUUAGUUAAAAAGGUUGUCAAUUGCAAAGACUUUUCAACUGCAAGAUCAUCAGGUUCCGAAGAGUCUCACGUGGCCUCUGCACCUCCAGAUACAUGCUUUCAAACAGUGUGGCCUGAUGAAACUAUGCGACCUUUUGGUCCUCAACACAGAGGUUCCAGCUUCCUGGGAACAUAGGUUUUGAUUGUCACCUCAAUGGGACUGGUUCACUGAAGAAAGCCUGGUUCAUAAAACUUUGCCUGGUAUUCUAGCAGAACCUUUAUCAGGUGAAAGACAAGUUUGUGAUGGCACAACGUGUGAAUGAAUUUGAGGGUAAUGAGGCAUCUGUUGAACACAAAAUUAACAGCAUAGAAACCUACUUUGAAAGUGCCAGAGUAGAGUGUGCAAUGCAGAUAUGCCCAGAAUUGCUGCAAGAGAUUUUGAAUCACUGUUUCCAGAAGUCCCUAACAGCAAACUAAUGAUUCUGACUGUAACACAAAAAACUAAGCAUGAUAUGAUUUGUUGGAAUGAAGAAGUAGAAAUUGAAAGAGAAGUUCUCUUAGAAAAAUUCAUCAGUGGUGCCAAGGAAAUUUGCUAUGCUCUUCGACCUGAGGAAUAUUGGGCUGACUUUAUUGACCCAUCAUCUGGUUUGGCAUUUUUUGGGCCAUAUACAAACAACACUCUUUUUGAAACAGAUGAAUGCUAAUGACAUUUAGGAUUCUCUGUCGAUGACCUUGGAUGCUGUAAAGUGAUUUGUCAUAGUCUCUGGGGUACCCACGUAGUUGUGGGAAGUAUCUUCACUAAUGCAACACCAGAUAGCCAUAUUAUGAAGAAAUUAAGUGGAAAUUAG